UAGUGACGGCGGGUUGUAGGCGGAGAGGAGGUGCGAAGACUUCUGUUCGUGGUUUUGUAAUUUAACGAAUAAAACUAAUCCAGCUAGUUUUCAUCUCGCUUUUAGUCUCAUUUACUAGUUUACAUACAAGUAAACUGAUGUGUUUUCGUGACAUUUUGCUUAAAGAAGGCUGAAGAUAACGAUAUGGAGAACACAGAAACGGACGUUGAAGAGCCACACUGGGUAACAAAACUUUUCCCUCCACGUUUUACUGUGUUAGACCUUGUGGGGGACAAUAUUACCCCAUGGCCCCCAGAGAGUGUGCUAGUAACUGAGAAGUUUGCUGCCCAGAGAGCAGAGAGAUUAAAGGAGAUUUACUAUUCUUCACUGAGGGAAGUGCAGGCACAUGAGAAGAAGAAAAGGCACGAACAGUUUGAGCAAAAUGUUGUCCGGGAAUAUGAAGAAGGCACCGAUAUGGUCUCCAGGCCACCGUCAACAGAAAAUACCAAGAAGAUAACCGAAAGCUCAUCAAGUCCUAUUCAGGAAGAUCAGCCCAUCUGGAAUGCAGAGGAGAUGAACGUCCUAAGGGAAGCCAUGCGCCAGAAAGAUUCUGAAAAGCAGCAGUUACAAAUUCACCUGAACAAUGCUCUGGCAGCAGUUGAAAGACUUCAGAGUGAGCGUGCUCAACUGGAAAAGAAUCUGAGCCAAAAAGAAAGGGAGCUUCUCAGAGUGCAGCAGGAAAAUGAACGACGGGCCUUGCAUGUGGCACUUUUACAAAGAGAGGGGUUAAUAAAAGAUAAAACAGUUCAAGCUUGGCUGGAAGAGAUACAGGAAAAAACAAGGGAAGUACAAAACCUUACUCGGGAGCUGCAAAAAGCUAGGAGUGAUAUCCUCGAUCAAAGUUUACAGAACAAGGAGCUUCAAGAUAAACUGAUAAAAGAGAGGCAGAUACAGGAGGACAUGCAUCAAACAAUGAUUGAAAAGAUUAGGGUGGAGCAUGAGGUGGUAAUUCAGAAGAUGCAGAGAGAACUUGAGACAGUCCAGGCUGAACUUGCUACAGAAAAGCAAAUGCAUGCCAGGAAUCUUAAUGCUCUUGAACUGCUCAGGAGACAUUUUGCCAAUUUGCCACCACAGAAUAAUGAAGACGUUCUUGCUGCAAAUGUCGGCCAUAUCGGGUACUAUUAAAAUCUACAACAGUUAGCCGAUUUUUGAAGUAACAGUGUGUUUCAAGGUGGAUUUUGCAAGCAACCAAAUUUGAUCGUCUAUUUACAGGGAAUGAAAGGAAGAUUAACACUUCAACUGUGACUCAUUUCCAGGGUCAGACCACCUGGACCCGCCUCUUUAUCCCAGAAUCCAUCUUAAGAGGAAACAAUAUUAUCUUGGGCAGAUCAUUUGAUUUUUCAAAUACUUCACAACUUCGUGCUAUACCAUAUGUUUUAUCCAAAAUUCCUCCAAUAUGAUGUGAAAGAUUUAAAGUUAUGUACAAAGUGACUGUUUCUAAUUAUAGCUGGCAAAAUUGGACUUACUUAACUUAGAAUGUACCAUUUUCCACAUUUUCUUCAUGUUGACUUAUUUUAUAAAGAAUAUAUAAAGUCAAAUAAAUGUAUUUAAUUUUAGGACUUAGGAGAUUGUUAAAUGAUGUCCAAGUGUUCAACGCCUUACAACUGAAAGUGAAGGAAUUUGUUGUGAUGUGAGAUUUUGC